rnacentral:rRNA from 1 species
UAGCGUAUAUUAAAGUUGUUGCGGUUAAAAAGCUCGUAGUUGGAUUUCUGUUGUGGGCAGCCGGUCCACACUAUGUGUGAGUAUCUGGUUUGACCACGGCAUCCUCCUGAUGAACGUAGUGUGCUUUGCUGCAUGGUACGGCUCUCAGGACUUUUACUUUGAGGAAAUUAGAGUGUUCACGGCAGGCGAUCGCCUUGAAUAUAUUAGCAUGGAAUAAUGAUCUAGGCGACCGAGUCUAUUUUGUUGGUUUCUAGACUCAGUCGAAUGGUUAAUAGGGACAGUUGGGGGCAUUCGUAUUAUGACGUC